GAUGAAGAACGCAGCGAAAUGCGAUAAGUAAUGUGAAUUGCAGAAUUCCGUGAAUCAUCGAAUCUUUGAACGCACAUUGCGCCCCUCGGUAUUCCGGGGGGCAUGCCUGUCCGAGCGUCAUUUCAACCCUCGAGCCCCCCCGGGGGCCUCGGUGUUGGGGGACGGCACACCAGCCGCCCCCGAAAUGCAGUGGCGACCCCGCCGCAGCCUCCCCUGCGUAGUAGCACACACCUCGCACCGGAGCGCGGAGGCGGUCACGCCGUAAAACGCCCAACUUUCUUAGAGUUGACCUCGGAUCAGGUAGGAAUACCCGCUGAACUUAAGCAUAUCAAUAAGCGGAGGA
rnacentral:misc_RNA from 1 species